UAGGGAAUCUUCCGCAAUGGGCGAAAGCCUGACGGAACAAUGCCGCGUGAGUGAAGAAGGCCUUCGGGUCGUACAACUCUGUUAUAAGAGAAGAACAAAUUGUAGAGUAACUGCUACAGUCUUGACGGUAUCUUAUCAGAAAGCCACGGCUAACUACGUGCCAGCAGCCGCGGUAAUACGUAGGUGGCAAGCGUUGUCCGGAUUUAUUGGGCGUAAAGGGAGCGCAGGUGGUUUCUUAAGUCUGAUGUGAAAGCCCACGGCUUAACCGUGGAGGGUCAUUGGAAACUGGGAAACUUGAGUACAGAAGAGGAAUGUGGAACUCCAUGUGUAGCGGUGGAAUGCGUAGAUAUAUGGAAGAACACCAGUGGCGAAGGCGACAUUCUGGUCUGUUACUGACACUGAGGCUCGAAAGCGUGGGGAGCAAACAGGAUUAGAUACCCUGGUAGUCCACGCCGUAAACGAUGAGUGCUAGGUGUUGGAGGGUUUCCGCCCUUCAGUGCCGCAGUUAACGCAUUAAGCACUCCGCCUGGGGAGUACGACCGCAAGGUUGA
rnacentral:rRNA from 1 species